rnacentral:tRNA from 1 species
GCCGCCGUAGCUCAGUGGUAGAGCGCCGCACUUGUAAUGCGGGGGUCAUCGGUUCGAAUCCGAUCGGCGGCUCCA